AGAGGUCGGUUUAUUCCUCUUACAGACGAAAGGAAAUAGAAAGGUUGAAAAGGGGGGCUAAAGAGAGAGAUGACGUUGAAGUCGUUGGGUACGAAGAAAAAACAUAAAAAAUUGGACAAGAUGAAGAAGGGUUGAGACGGAUAUCACGGGUGCUAAGCAAUGAGACUGAGUGUGUAAGUGUUAUGUGACGAUAUGCAUAGUGAUCCAAUUGUUUAGUGAAGAUGCGGGUACAAGCUGAAUUGCACAAUAAUAAUUAUCAAUGGGUCGUUAACAGUCGAGCUAUCCUGACAAAUUGUCGACGCAUGGAGAAUUGUUAAAUAUUAAUAACUGUGUCGAUGCUGGUUGGAUUAUUAUUUCAUUGAACAGGCUGCUCGAACUGCGGAUAUUGUUUAUGAUAUCAUGGAAGCUUAUUCUUCAAACAAAAAUGUCCAGUCUGAGUUGAAUAAUUUUGCCGUUGAGUUGUUACACAAAAAUCUAUCCUUUAAUGCUUGUGGAAUUUUUUCACUAGACUCUUCUCUAUUGAAAUCAAUAUUGGAGAUGACGGGAACUUAUGUUCUCAUCCUUGUGCAAUUCAGACCGCUGGAGAAGGCAAAACAAAAUGGAUGGGCGCAGUACGCUAAUGAAUUCAAAUAAGAGACUUUGUCAAUAUUGUUACUCUUGGAAUA